GUGCUGGUCUUGGCAGAAUAUAUAUUAAAAUUGGAGCAAUGCUGAGAAAAUUAGCAAGGGCCCCGUGGUGACAUGGAAAUCUGUGAAGCAUUCUGUAUUUUU